CCUACGGGAGGCUGCAGUGGGGAAUAUUGGGCAAUGGGCGCAAGCCUGACCCAGCAAUGCCGCGUGAAGGAAGAAGGCUUUCGGGUUGUAAACUUCUUUGACAGGGGAAGAGCAGAAGACGGUACCCUGAAAACAAGCCACGGCUAACUACGUGCCAGCAGCCGCGGUAAUACGUAGGUGGCAAGCGUUGUCCGGAUUUACUGGGUGUAAAGGGCGUGUAGCCGGGAAGGCAAGUCAGAUGUGAAAUCCGGAGGCUCAACCUCCGAAUUGCAUUUGAAACUGUUUUUCUUGAGUACUGGAGAGGCAGACGGAAUUCCUUGUGUAGCGGUGAAAUGCGUAGAUAUAUGGAAGAACACCAGUGGCGAAGGCGGCUCUCUGGUCUGCAACUGACGCUGAGGCUCGAAAGCAUGGGUAGCGAACAGGAUUAGAUACCCUAGUAGUC
rnacentral:rRNA from 1 species